GGCAGCCCUAGCCUCAGUCCACAGCCGCCAUGCCCUCACUCCUCCUCGCCGCCACACUCCCUUCCUCCUCCUCCUCCUCCUCCUCCUCCUCGCUGCCACACUCCCUCCCUCCUCCUACCUACUCACCAUAGCCUGCCAUAAGCGGCUCCCUCCUCACCAUGGCCCCGCCAUAGGCAGCUCAAGCGAUGGUGGAACGGACGGCAGCCUCAGCGUGUGGGCGGCGGCGGCCCGUCUGGUGAACGAGCCCGCACCUCCCUGCCCUCCUCAUCACCCUUCCCUCCUCGGCUUAAUGGGAGGUUCGCGGGGCACCUCUCAGGCUGCUGCUGCCUCUUCCGCCCAGCAGGACGAGCACAAGGUACACAUGAAUCUACGAUCCAGAUUCUAGCUACAUCCUUUACUACAACAAUCUCAGUCUAUACUGAAAAGUGUACUGCUUAUAUAGCUGAUAUCUUUAAUUCAUAUGGUCGUCCGCUGGAUGCUGACUGGUCUUUGGUUCAUAUGGUCACUGGCUAGAAGCUUGCUGCUAUGUUUGGUUCAUAUGGUCGUCGACUGGAAGCUCGCGCUCUGAAUGAUCUCAUUCUCUAUGGCCGGCAAUACACACUUCUCAUUACUACCAGCCGGGUCUUCUCAGAGUGAUUGAAUAAAUUCCAUUCCUUCAUGCUGCAACCUUCCAUGAUUUUUGCUCAAAAUGGCAUAAUAUGCCACUUGCGCCACCAUUGAUCUUUGAAAUUUAGUUACUCCAGUUUUUCGUAGAUAACAAUUGUGUAGUCUUUGUCCUUUCCACUUACCAUUACCAUUUUUGUGAUGAUACUUCACUAGAAAUUUGUUUGGUACUCCUCAUCUAAAAUAUAUUCAGAACGAGUUCACUUUUGCAAUGCAUGGGAGUUUAGUUUUUGUUGCAUGCGCAGUUAUAUAUGUUUAGUCAUUUGUAUUGAGAGGUCAGUGCGUCUUGGUUGUUUCUGUUGUUGAUCCAGGAGGUUCUUGGUUGCUUGGUGUUUUUGCUACACGUGCAGUACUAUAAUAUGCUAACCCAUAUAACGAUGAAGUAUAUUCUGUUUCGUAGAUGAGCAAAGUUUGCUGCAUGCAUAGUAUAUAUAUGUUUUCUUACAAAUAUAUGUAUGCCAUUAACUGCUAUCAUUGUGUUUUACAGGGGUUCAUGGGCCAUCAUGAUGAUAUACUUAAUUCUUUAAACAAGAAUGGUAAGAACUAAGGAGGGUUGUCUUGUCCAAGAGCUCUGCCGCGAUGGCAUCGCCACUCAGUGAUGCCUAAGCAGGAAGGCCAAUCGCGGGGAGGUGCGACAUGGGUGGCCUAAAGAGCUAAUUUGGUGCCCUCUCUCUUUGCCUCUUGUUUCCUCCGGCACCCAGAUUUUGAUGGCUAAUAUAUUGACUUCCUAAACAUCUUUAAUUUAUAAGUAAUGUAGUAGUUAUAUGCUUUUCAUUUAUGAUAGAGAGAUUGAAUCAGGGUGUUUUGCUUGCUGCUUUGUAGGAAAAUGUACCCUGUUGCAGUUCCUCUGUCUUCACGAAUUACUAUCCAACUUUUAAGUCUGUUCUAAACUCUCAGCCCCAUGUAAAUCUGAUGGAAGAUUGGGCCGUUUAAUUUGGAACAAAAAGGGUAAUAUGCUCUCAGUUGCUUGAAUCUGUCCAGACCUGAAAAAUAGAUAUACUUUGAAAGCUUGGUAUAUGAGUAUGUAACUGAAGGAGAAGACAUUUCUUGUUCUUGGUCGUCGUAGUUUUUGUUUAUUCCAUUAAAAAGAGAUGGAUUACAGUUACUUGACACGCACACCCACACCCGGGCGCAAGGUCUGUUAGUCCUUUAAAUUGAUUAUAUGACAUAAGAAGAGGCUGGAGCAUAGAUUGGGGUGACAUAAAUAUAUGAAUUGUUUAGAAAAUAACAAAUGGAACUCCCAGACACCGCCAUCUCUGCAUCCACCUUGCUCCGCAUAGCAGCAUGUGUGUGGAAGCGGGGACAGGCGAUCAUGAGCAGAUGGCGUCGACGGCAAUGGAAACAUGCACGGUACACGAAGUUCGAUAACAUGGACGCGGCCUCCCCAUAGGCGUUUUAGGAUGGUGUGUCCACCGGCUUGGAACGCGCCCGCCCGACGCACAGCAGGUAUGCCUCGCAGCACGCCAGUGGCAACGUGCACCGCGGGGCCCGGAAGCAGCCCAGCCAGUACAGAGCCCCUCCGUAUAGGAGGAACCCUGCCACCGUCGGAGCCAGCAACGGUGACGCGUAUGAGAGCUCGGCCAUGGUGGCCCGCGCGCCGAAUAGGAGGAUCAUGUCCGCGCUAGAGGGCAGCAACGAGAACAUCAGUGGCACAAGGAGGUGUGCAGGAUCUGCACCAACAGGCAACCACAUGCAAAUUUUGAGGAGCGACAUGAGCAUCAAGCAAUGGCUGAUGCCAAGGGGUUAUAGCAACGAAAAUGCUCAACGUACGGGCAGUUUUCACAUAAUCACUCCUACGGGCGGACCUGCCCCUCCCUAACUCGACCACCACCCCGUGCAUUUCAUGGUGGGGUCCGCCUACCCCUAAUCACUUCAUGCCAUCUCACCCU